AAGCCUGUUUUUUUCCUUUGUUUUGUUUCUUAGCUGGUUGCAUUCAUGUGUUCAGGCCUCUUCAGCACUUCAGAUCCCAACUGAAACAAGAAAUGGGAGGAUGCAGAGCAAAGCUGCCAUGAGUACACAGAAUUGGGAAUAGCUGCCAGCAAGAGCUGCUCUGAGGGAAAGGCAGUGGCUGUUUACCUGCCCUGCUCAGCCAGUCCAGGGAGGACAGGAGAACAAUUAAAUGGUUUACCUUCCUCACAAUAAGUACUUUUCUGAAACAUGGCUGGAAAGAAGGAAGGAGUCCUGUUGGCAUUCCCACUGGUGAAAGUCAGAACAUAUAAGGGUUUGGAUCACAUCCAGUAACAGAACUAAAUCCAGUCCUGUGUUAAGAUGAUGCCAGGGAAUUGCAGAUGCCAAGCACAGGUUUUAAGAUCUGAAGUGAGCUGUUGCUGAUUCCAAUACAUUGAGACUGGGACCAAGGCAGACCCUGAUCAUCUCUAUGAGGAUGUCAUGCAGAAAACCAAAGGUUACUCACAGCUUGGGUGAGGACACCAGAAGGAAAGAGUUCAGCAAGGAAGCCUGUAUAUUUCUUAAAGGUGGUGUCUUCAUCAAGUGCAA